UACGGAGGGUGCGAGCGUUAAUCGGAAUUACUGGGCGUAAAGCGUGCGUAGGUGGCUUGAUAAGCCGGUUGUGAAAGCCCCGGGCUCAACCUGGGAACGGCAUCCGGAACUGUCAGGCUAGAGUGCGGCAGAGGGUAGUGGAAUUUCCUGUGUAGCGGUGAAAUGCGUAGAUAUAGGAAGGAACACCAGUGGCGAAGGCGGCCACCUGGACCAACACUGACACUGAGGCACGAAAGCGUGGGGAGCGAACAGG
rnacentral:misc_RNA from 1 species